UCGGUGCUGAAGCUGUUCCGGAUGCGCUCGCUGCGCUGGCAGCUGCUGUCCAUCAUCGUCCUCAUGGGCGGCCAGCAGCUGUCGGGCGUCAACGCUGUAUGGGCCGGGCUGCGGCUCGGGAGCUGGGGAGGGCUCGGGGGGCGCGGGGCGCAGGUCUUGGGGCGCCGGGCGUGGGUCCUGGCGCCGAGGCCGCCUCCUCCGGGCAGCCGCCCAGCCCCGCGCUUGCCUUGCAGAUCUACUACUACGCGGACCAGAUCUACCUGAGCGCCGGCGUGCCGGAGGAGCACGUGCAGUACGUGACGGCCGGCACCGGGGCCGUGAACGUGGUCAUGACCUUCUGCGCCGUGUUCGUGGUGGAGCUCCUGGGUCGGAGGCUGCUGCUGCUGCUGGGCUUCUCCAUCUGCCUCAUAGCCUGCUGCGUGCUCACUGCAGCUCUGGCACUGCAGGACACGGUGUCCUGGAUGCCAUACAUCAGCAUCGUCUGUGUCAUCUCCUACGUCAUAGGACAUGCCCUCGGGCCCA
rnacentral:sRNA from 1 species